CGUUACUUACACUUUGACUUUUCUCGGUAAGGAGCGAGACUUACUCUGCACACUUUGCCGUUUUUUGAGGCAAUAAUCCGAGUAUUUUGGUGGCACACUUGUAACCGCGCACCUGGAGCUUUUCAGUCCGGGAACCUGCGCAUCUCUUUCUCCCCGUGACUUCAUCCUUCUGACACAUCGACGCACGAGACUGGGCUGACUCACGGGCAGUCAUGCUGUAGAAGUUUCCACGCGUGAAACCAGAGCAGCGUGGGUCUAAAGUUUGCUCUCCUCGUGAGAGGGACCAUGCAAGGACAACCUAACAGAGCACGGAGCAAUCUGAGGCUGCUGCUGCUGUGCCUCGCUGUCACUGUGCUCAUCUCAGGAGUACACGCAGGUGGGAAAAAGCACAGUGGCCCCUGUGGAGGAAGAGACUGCAGUGGAGGCUGUAAAUGCUUCCCAGAGAAGGGUGCUAGGG